CUUUUCACUGGGGGAGUGGGGGAACCGAGGAGGUACCGAAGCUGGAACGGAGUGGGAAGAAGGUUGAGCUGCUGCGAUCGUUCUGGGGUCCACGUAAAAUGUCCCCCCGUUGCUUGGGGCUCACGUGGCAGUUUCCUCCAUUUGCUGAGUGUUUUAGAGAUAAAUGUAGACAUGUAUGUUGUACACAUGAGUAAGCAGGCUCAGAGGCCCCAAGGUGCCAGGGCUGCUAAGUGUCAGACAUCAGAACCAAUGAAGGGUGAUGUCUGUGUGCUUAUCUGAGCACUGAAGAAAGGUGGGCACAGCACAGGUUCGACCCCAUGGCCUGGUUCAGCUAACCAGCGGAGACAGGACAGCUUGGGCUAUACAGCUGGACCACGCCAACAUACAUGCAGGUCAUGGGACUCUGGCAGCUCUUGAAAAUCCCCACCUACCCAAACCUGCUGAUCCUCUCUGCCUGCGGAGGUCAGAAGAGGACUGUCUUCGGAUCCCCAGGGACUGGAGUUAGAUGCAGCUGUGAGCUGACAUGUGGAUGCUGGGACUUGAACCCCAGCCCUCUGCAAGAGCAGCCAGUGCUCUUAACGGCUGAGCCAACUCUCCAGUCGUGUUCUUUUCAUCGAAGGGCCUUUGACUCCUACCUGAGUCCAGGCUCGGCCACAGAAAGAAGCCAUGGUGCUGUGCCUGAUGGGUGGAGACGGGAACACCUCCCUGCAAGGCUACUGGAGCACCACGGAUGCUCCCCUCGCUGGGACCACCUUGGGGUAGAAAGGGUUAUGAGGUGAACCUGCUUGCUGGUGGCAUGAACAAAGCAAGCUAAGCUGAUAAGGUCACUGCUUGAUGUAGUCCAAUCUCAACCUUCCUAGCCAGAAUUCAGUGGUGCCAGCACCCCACCUGCUUACCUGCCUGUAAUCUCAGUUCUGGGAAACUGAGUACAAGGUAAUCCUCUGCUCCUAAUGGAUUGGGGACAAACCUGAGCUACAUGAAAGCCUAUCUUCUCAAGAAACAAGAACUUUUUUUAAAAAAUCAAAGUAAUAGAGCCAACGUCUAGCCAGUUGGGGAGAUGAAGCUGCUUUGGUGCACAAGCGGGGUCCCCAGAACCCAGUAAAAGUAGAAAGACAGAAGUAACUCCACAAAGUUGUCUCUUGACUGCCACACACACCAUGGCACUCAACCCCCGCCCCACAGACGCACACAUCAUGCACACACAAUAGUAAAAUAAUCACUGGUGGUGGCGCAUGCCUUUAAUCCCAGCACUCGGGAGGCAGAGGCAGGCAGAUCUCUGAGUUCGAGGUCAGACUGGUCUUCAAAGAGUUCCAGGACAUCCUCCAAAACCUACAAAGAAACCCUGCCUCAAAACCUCCUCCGCAAAAAGGUAAUGAUUCAAACUCUUCUUCCAGGGCUGGAGAGAUGGUCCAGAGGUUAAGAGCACUGACUGCUCUUCCAGAGGUCCUGAGUUCAAUUCCCAGCAACCACAUGGUGGCUCACAACCACCUACAAUUCAAUCUGGUGUCCUCUUCUGGCAUGUAGGCAGAACACUGUAUAUGUAAUAAAUAAAUAAAUCUUUAAAAAAAAAACAACUCUUCUUUCAGGGCUGGGGCUUUAGCCCAGUGGUGACCACUUGCUGGACUCCUCCAGUGAGGCUGGGAAGCCCACCUCAGUGCCAGAGCUCUCGCCAAACACGUACAGCACAGUGGGUUCCAUACAUAGUACUGCGCUAAGCAAAUCAAUAAAAACUCAAGGAAUGCAGCAAGAUGGCUUAGCAGCUAAGAUCCCUCACUGCCUGCUUUCCCAGAGGACCCAGGUACAACUCCCAACACGUAUGUGGUGACUCACAAUCAUCUACAACUCCAGUUCCAGGGGAUUCUGUGCACUCUUCUGACCUCCCCAGGCCCCAGGCACACAUGACAUAUACAGACAUUCGUGUAGGCGAAACACCCAAUGUAUACAAUACUUAGAAAUAUAUUAAAAUCCCUCUUCCUUCAGUAACAGGGACAGGACAUCCCCAAACAGAGUCCACCUUGCUCUCAAGUUUGUCUUCCCUGUUAUUUCCUUGUUUUGUUUGUGUAAGAGUGUCUCACAAGGUAGCUCUGGCUGACAGAGAAUUCUCUAUGCAGACAGGCUGGUUUUGAACUGACUGCCUCUGCCUCCUGGUUUCUGGAAGUAAAGGCAUUUGCCACCAUG